UAUGCUAAAUGCCCAGAUGGUUCCUGCUGACAGUGGUGCUGCUGGUAGAUUACUGCUGCCCAUCCAUUCUCCAGGCACUGCACACCCAGGGCCAUUGGGAACAGCAAGGCUGUAAGACCACCAGGUCCCUCUGCUGCCGUCAUCAUUGCACCUCUCCUGCUCACACUGCACCUGGUUUCCUUGUGCUCGGAGUGCCACUGAACCCCCUCCCCACCCCUGGAAGGACAGACAGACAGACGGCCGUGCAUGUCAGUGGGCAGACCUGCAGCUGCACGGCUCCUCCUGCAGCCUCAGCACGGGGUUGGUGGGGUGCUGGGAGCUGCUGCCCUCAGAAAGCGGGAUGGGAAGAGAAGGUGACACAUCACUGUGCUGUGACUCAGGAGAAAGGCCGAGCCCUGAGGGCCUGGAAAGAGUUAAUGAAGGAAAAGCUUGUCUGGCCAAGGAGCUGGUGUGGCUCCAGGAGAGCCAUGACUCAGAGAUGGAGCAUCCUGCCAGAGCAUCGGGCAGGCUCCUCAUCCUCAGCUCCUCCUCUCCCAGCACAGCAAUGUGAAUGUGUCCAGCAUCGUGGCUAG
rnacentral:lncRNA from 1 species